rnacentral:rRNA from 1 species
CAGUAGCCACGGUAAUACGAAGGGUGCAAGCGUUAAUCGGAAUUACUGGGCGUAAAGCGUGCGUAGGCGGUGAGUUAAGUCUGCUGUGAAAUCCCCGGGCUCAACCUGGGAAUGGCAGUGGAUACUGGCUCGCUAGAGUGUGUCAGAGGAUGGUGGAAUUCCCGGUGUAGCAGUGAAAUGCGUAGAGAUCUGGAGGAAUACCGAUGGCGAAGGCAGCCAUCUGGCCUAAUACUGACGCUGAGGUACGAAAGCAUGGGGAGCAAACAGGAUUAGAUACCCGAGUAGUCCCUGUCUCUUAUAC